AACGAACGCUGGCGGCGCGCCUAACACAUGCAAGUCGAACGAGAAGGCGUAGCAAUACGCUUGUAGAGUGGCGAACGGGUGAGUAAUACGUGGGUGACCUACCCUCGAGUGGGGAAUAACCCGCCGAAAGGCGGGCUAAUGCCGCGUACGCUUCCGUCCUCACGGGGACGGAAGGAAAGCUGUACCGUGGUACGGCGCUCAAGGAUGGGCUCACGUCCUAUCAGCUUGUUGGUAGGGUAACGGCCUACCAAGGCUACGACGGGUAGCUGGUCUGAGAGGACGAUCAGCCACACUGGCACUGCGACACGGGCCAGACUCCUACGGGAGGCAGCAGUGAGGAAUAUUGCGCAAUGGGCGAAAGCCUGACGCAGCGACGCCG
rnacentral:rRNA from 1 species